rnacentral:lncRNA from 1 species
GAGAAGUUCAGCCAAAAUCUGUAAUGAAAGUAAAUUGUUGAACACCUGCAUAGUGCAGCUAAAUUCAAGGCAAUGACAAUAUAUUUUGACCGUUUGAUCCUGCCUAUCCUAUCAAGUUUUACAGCCACGAGGUUUGAUUGGUGGGCUUGGAUCACUUGUGGACUUUAUAAGCCCACCUAUUCCUCAGGGAAGACACAGAAAGCAGAGGAAAUGUGAAGACAAGACUACAGCCAGAGGGCAUCGACUGUGGUGCUUGGAGGAAACUCUAUGACCACUUCAUCUGCUUUCCAGGGAAAAAGGGUAAUACUCCCUACUGAGGAACUCAGACACUAAAUGUUCUUAUUUUAGCAUUUUCUGUGUAUUAUUAAUUUUCCUAUAAGCCUUUAAGUCUUAAAGAGUGCUUUAUUCAUUCUGACUUGGCCCUCUGCCCUCUCUUCUGACUCUAAAUGAGAAAUUAAUUUUAUGAAGGGUACAACAUUACCCUAAAACAUUACAUUUUAAUUUCUACCUCAAAAUGUUCUCAAACCAUAGCAAUAACUGUACUGUUCAUACUUUUCUUAUAUCUAAGAAGCCAUAAUCAUUUUUGCUUAGAAAUGUAAUUCCAAACUAGCAUGAUUACACUGUAGUCUUAAUGAAUUUAUGGUUCUUUAGAAUUGAAUGCACCUUGGUCUAUCUCCGAAUUUAAUUAAAAGAAGCUUCAGCCUGGGUGUUACACAAUUAACAAGCUUGAGAAGGUUAAAGCUAAGUGUGCAAAGGUCUCUCAAUAAGAGACAAGGUCACUAACUGUUACUGUCUUUUCUCUGUCUUCUUUCAUACAGCGUUAUUAUUCAGUGCAGGGAAAUAUGAUGCUUGUAAGUCUAAGCAUUUAUUUCACUGAAGAUUCUUUUCACCAUUACGUAUAGUCCAGCAAAAGUAAAU